rfam:Phascolarctobacterium sp. CAG:207 genomic scaffold, scf100
CGGGCAGUAUCUUUGUGAGCUGUACCAUAAGCCGCAGGUCUUAAUUUAAAAUCAGUCAUUAAUCGCUUGGAUCAGUAAUGACCGGGACGAGACG